CGCGUAGGUGGUAAGGCAAGUAAGAUGUGAAAGCCCUGGGCUUAACCUGGGAAGUGCAUCUUAAACUGCCUAACUAGAGUAUGGUAGAGGGUAGCGGAAUUUCCGGUGUAGCGGUGAAAUGCGUAGAGAUCGGAAGGAACGCCAGUGGUGAAGACGGCUACCUGGACCAAUACUGACACUGAGGCGCGAAAGCGUGGGGAUCAAACAGGAUUAGAUACCCUGGUAGUCCACGCUGUAAACCGAUGAGGACUGGAUGUCGGGCAGCAUGGCUGUUUGGUAUCGAAGCUAACGCGAUAAGUUCUCCGCCUGGGGAAGUACGGUCGCAAGAUUAAAA
rnacentral:rRNA from 1 species